rnacentral:lncRNA from 1 species
AUUGCAUACACUCAGUCUUCAGGAGGAGGCAUCCCCUCUGGGUGCAGAACUUCCGCCGUGGCUGCUUGCUCAGGAUAAACUGGUGGAGCCAUGACUCCUUUUGUCAUUGGGACCACAGGAGGAGGGAGGUUCCCAAAGGGUUUGUCUAAACUCCACAGUGACAUCACAGGAUGCGAAUACCAAGGAUCCAAACACUCUGAUAAACUCACAGAAAGUCUUGGGCUGUGCCUCGGGAAAUCAUUGCCUCUAUGAAAUUGUCCAAGGCGAACUUGGUAAACCUCUGAAGGCACAGAAGAACCGUUCAGAGAGGAGCCUACACAUCUCUGUCUACAGCUACAGCGUCAUAUGCUACCCCUCAGAAACGGACGUUUUAAUGAUUUCAUCCUGUCAAGAAUCGCAUAUUUCAAAACAUUAGAAAGUUGACUUGCACAAGUGUAAAAUAAGCAUGGAUCAGGAUGCUUCACCGUGUGCUCCAUAAGCUACUCAUCUGAUGUUUCAGAGGAAGCAGAAGAAAUUCCCAGCAAAGUGACCUGUGUUGCAAGACUCAAA